UUCAGCAGUCAGUCCCAGUCAGCACACAGCAUGGACAUGAGGACCAAUGCUCAGCUCCUGGGGCUUCUGCUGCUCUGCCUCCCAGGUGCCAGAUGUGACAUCCAGAUGACCCAGUCUCCCUCCUCCCUGUCUGCAUCUCCAGGAGACACUGUCACCAUCUCCUGCAAAGCUUGUCAGGGUAUUAGCAAUUAUUUAAACUGGUAUCAGCAGAAACCAGGGAAAGCUCCAAAGCCUCUGAUCUAUUACACUUCAAGGUUGGCCUCUGGAGUCCCAUCCAGGUUCAGUGGCAGUGGAUCUGGGACAGAUUAUUCUCUCACCAUCAGCAGCCUUCAACCUGAAGAUUUUGCCACUUAUUACUGUCAGAAGUGUGAUAGUACACCAUACACAGUGAUACAACCCAUAACAUAA